UGCAGAAUCCCGUGAACCAUCGAGUCUUUGAACGCAAGUUGCGCCCGAAGCCAUUAGGCCGAGGGCACGCCUGCCUGGGCGUCACGC
rnacentral:rRNA from 1 species